UACGUAGGGCGCAAGCGUUAUCCGGAAUUAUUGGGCGUAAAGAGCUCGUAGGCGGUUUGUCGCGUCUGCCGUGAAAGUCCGGGGCUCAACUCCGGAUCUGCGGUGGGUACGGGCAGACUAGAGUGAUGUAGGGGGAGACUGGAAUUCCUGGUGUAGCGGUGAAAUGCGCAGAUAUUAGGAGGAACACCGGUGGCGAAGGCGCCGCUCUGGGCCGAUACUGACGCUGAGGAGCGAAAGCGUGGGUAGCAAACAGG
rnacentral:rRNA from 1 species